rnacentral:sRNA from 1 species
GAUAAGUCGCCCAGUAUUGUGUGAGAGGUAGAGUCACAGAUUGGAGAAGCUUUGGAGAGAGACAGAACAAAACUUGAGUGUUGACUCCAGUACUCAGUGGGCGAGUUUGAAAAAGUACCAGAAGGUCCUAUCCCUCCAUCUACACCGAAGUUUGCAUAUGGAAAGGUCACUUUGGAAAAGUUAAAGACAGUGGGAGCAGCUCUGGACAUUCUGUGUCCCUCUGGGCCCAUCAAAAGCCUUUAUCCCUUGACAUUUAUCCAGGUGAAACAGCAUUAUGGGUUUGUGCUGUACCGGACAACACUUCCUCAAGAUUGCAGCAACCCAGCACCUCUCUCUUCACCCCUCAAUGGAGUCCACGAUCGAGCAUAUGUUGCUGUGGAUGGGAUCCCCCAGGGAGUCCUUGAGCGAAACAGUGUGAUCACUCUGAACAUAACAGGGAAAGCUGGAGCCACGCUGGACCUUCUGGUAGAGAACAUGGGACGUGUGAACUAUGGCGCAUAUAUCAACGAUUUUAAGG